GACGAACGCUGGCGGCGUGCUUAACACAUGCAAGUCGAACGGAAAGUGCCCAGCUUGCUGGGUGACUCGAGUGGCGAACGGGUGAGUAACACGUGGGUGAUCUGCCCUGCACUUUGGGAUAAGCCUGGGAAACUGGGUCUAAUACCGAAUACACCCUGCUGGUCGCAUGGCCUGGCGGGGGAAAGCUUUUGCGGUGUGGGAUGGGCCCGAGGCCUAUCAGCUUGUUGGUGGGGUGAUGGCCUAGCAAGGCGACGACGGGUAGCCGGCCUGAGAGGGUGUCCGGCCACACUGGGACUGAGAUACGGCCCAGACUCCUACGGGAGGCAGCAGUGGGGAAUAUUGCACAAUGGGCGCAAGCCUGAUGCAGCGACGCCGCGUGAGGGAUGACGGCCUUCGGGUUGUAAACCUCUUUCAAUAGGGACGAAGCGUGAGUGGCGGUACCUAUAGAAGAAGCACCGGCCAACUACGUGCCAGCCGCCGCAGUAACAC
rnacentral:rRNA from 1 species